UAAUACGGAGGGUGCGAGCGUUGUCCGGAAUCACUGGGCGUAAAGGGCGCGUAGGCGGCGCAGUAAGUAGGGGGUGAAAUCUCACGGCUCAACCGUGAAACAGCCUCCUAAACUGCUGUGCUCGAGCACGGUAGAGGCAGAUGGAAUUCCCGGUGUAGCGGUGGAAUGCGUAGAUAUCGGGAAGAACACCAGUGGCGAAGGCGGUCUGCUGGGCCGUUGCUGACGCUGAGGCGCGACAGCGUGGGGAGCAAACAGGAUUAGAUACCCUGGUAGUCCACGCCGUAAACGAUGGGUACUAGGCGUCGGGGGGAGCGACCCCUUCGGUGCCGUCGCUAACGCAAUAAGUACCCCGCCUGGGGAGUACGGCCGCAAGGCUG
rnacentral:rRNA from 1 species